CUGGUUGAUCCUGCCAGUAGUCAUAUGCUUGUCUCAGAGAUUAAGCCAUGCAUGUCUAAGUACAAACCUUCAAACGGUGAAACCGCGAAUGGCUCAUUAAAUCAGCUAUGGUUCCUUGGAUCGUACAUACUACAUGGAUAACUGUAGUAAUUCUAGAGCUAAUACAUGCCACUAUGCCCUGACCCGCAAGGGAACGGGUGGAUUUAUUAGAACAGAACCAACCGGCGGUGACUUCGGUUGCUGUCGUUGCAUUCUGUGAUGACUCUGGAUAACUUUACUGAUCGCAGUCGGCCUUGUGUCGGCGACGGAUCUUUCAAAUGUCUGCCCUAUCAAUUUUCGAUGGUAGGUGACCUGCCUACCAUGGUGAUAACGGGUAACGGGGAAUCAGGGUUCGAUUCCGGAGAGGGAGCCUGAGAAACGGCUACCACUUCCAAGGAAGGCAGCAGGCGCGCAAAUUACCCAAUCCCGGCACGGGGAGGUAGUGACGAAAAAUACGGAUACGGGACUCAUUAGAGGCUCCGUAAUUCGAAUGAGUACAAUUUAAAUCCUUUAACGAGGAUCAACUGGAGGGCAAGUCUGGUGCCAGCAGCCGCGGUAACUCCAGCUCCAGAAGCGUAUAUU
rnacentral:ncRNA from 1 species